CCGCCCAAUGCGCCGCCCACACCUGCUUCGGUGGUGCCUCCGGCAGAAGCGAAGCCACUGACCAGGCCAAGGGACAACAAGAGAAUCGAGGAGAACUUCAUAGAGGAUGAGCCUCAAAGGGAUGACGGCGCCGAUCCUGAAGCUCUGCAAUGGGCGUGACAAUCAAAAUCCGACGAAUAACACGACUUGUAUACAAUAUUGCAAGUUACUGUUUUUUCACCGGAACUUAACCGAUUUUCGCCGGUCUUUAGCUACUUCGGACAGGCCGUUUUCAUGCAGAAACGGCCUUUUUUGUGGGCGGUCGAAAAUCUUCGCCACGGCAGACCUGUUGACAGGUCGAUCGCAUUCGCGAGCAGGCUCGCUCCCACCUUUGAAAUGCAUUCCAAGUGUGGGAGCGAGCCUG
rnacentral:sRNA from 1 species